GAUGAACGCUGGCGGCGUGCCUAACACAUGCAAGUCGAGCGAUUCUCUUCGGAGAAGAGCGGCGGACGGGUGAGUAACGCGUGGGUAACCUGCCCUGUACACACGGAUAACAUACCGAAAGGUAUGCUAAUACGAGAUAAUAUGCUUUUAUCGCAUGGUAGAAGUAUCAAAGCUCCGGCGGUACAGGAUGGACCCGCGUCUGAUUAGCUAGUUGGUAAGGUAACGGCUUACCAAGGCGACGAUCAGUAGCCGACCUGAGAGGGUGAUCGGCCACAUUGGAACUGAGACACGGUCCAAACUCCUACGGGAGGCAGCAGUGGGAAAUAUUGCACAAUGGGCGAAAGCCUGAUGCAGCAACGCCGCGUGAGCGAUGAAGGCCUUCGGGUCGUAAGGCUCUGUCCUCAAGGAAGAUAAUGACGGUACUUGAGGAGGAAGCCCCGGCUAACUACGUGCCAGCAGCCGCGGUAACAC
rnacentral:rRNA from 1 species